rnacentral:rRNA from 1 species
GACGAACGCUGGCGGCGUGCUUAACACAUGCAAGUCGAGCGGUAAGGCCCUUUCGGGGUACGACGAGCGGCGAACGGUGAGUAACACGUGGUGACCUGCCCUCAGCUCUGGGAUAAGCCUGGGAAACCGGGUCUAAUACUGGAUAUGACUCCAUGACGCAUGUUGUGGGGUGGAAAGCCUUGUGCGGCUGAGGAUGGGCCCGCGGCCUAUCAGCUUGUUGGUGGGGUGANGGCCUACCAAGGCGACGACGGGUAGCCGGCCUGAGAGGGCGACCGGCACACUGGGACUGAGACACGGCCCAGACUCCUACGGGAGGCAGCAGUGGGGAAUCUUGCGCAAUGGGCGAAAGCCUGACGCAGCGACGCCGCGUGAGGGAUGACGCC